GCUGGGUAUGGUGGCGCAUGCCUGUCAUCCCAGCAGCUCAGGAGGCUGAGGCAAGAGAAUCUCGAGUUCAAAGCCAGCCUCCACAAAAGCGAGGCACUAAGCAGAUCAGUGAGACUCUGUCUCUA
rnacentral:sRNA from 1 species